AAAUAGAUAUUUCUAAAUCUACCUAUGCCUGUAGGCUGUGCCAAAACGGAUUUUAUUUAAUAUGUAUUCUUAAAUAUGUUUCGCCCCUUAAAGAGGAAAAUAUUAUAAACUAUUGGUUAAGGUUUAUAUAAAAUUGCUUUAAAUUUUUUUUAGAUGCAAUGGAAAAACUAACUUGCUAUGGUAUUAUCAUAAUGAUAGGAAAAUAUAUGCAUUCAAAGUAGGUAAAAAGUUUUUAAUGUCUGCAUUUCUUAUCUUUAUUGAACAGUAUUUGUCAGUCUUGCUUUUUAUUUACGUAGUUUUUUUUCACUUGCUCAACCCUGUGAAACUUUAUUUAAUAAUACCUCUAUUGCUAAUUUUUACCUUGAAGCUCAUAAAAAAAACUUACAUUUUACCUAAGCCUCUCGCACCGAAAUUUGACGAGCAAAUCAUUACGCUUUAAAUGUUUACAUGCAACAGUGAAUAAUUCAUCCACAGAAUACAAAUUUCAUGUGGUGCCAAUUGUUCUACUGUUAUAACUUCCGAAGAUGUGGACAGCGUUUCAGUCUUGUCAGCCAUACACAUACCAGUUGACGUUUUCUUACUGGAAAUAUAUUUAGCAUGUAAUAGUAUCAAUGAGUUCAUUUUCAUUUAACAUAUAAAGUCUAUGUACGGAAGGGCAGGAAUGACAGUACAUGUUCAGAAAGAAAAUGAAAAGUUGGCAUUAUUACUUGGUACAAGCUGAAUCAACAAACCAAGAAGUUUUCUAGUUCACUAUGUUAAAUAAUUUCAUAAUUGUUACAUUUCUUUGCUGUUGAGCUAUUAUGGUGCCCAUUUUAUUUUAAUAGGUGCAGACAAAUUAAUCUUGCCUUGCCCGAUUUCUGAUAGUCCUGCGACAUGAUGCUAACAAAUCGUAGUGCUAAAACUGAAUUCAUAGCGAGUCAGAGGGAAAUUAUUUAAGAGGGUGGCAAUAAGCUUUGUUAUUUCGCGCCUAUACGCGCAGACACUGAGACAUGUUCCCCGAUAUUUCUUCGUCUCCUACUUGACGUUUCUUCACAUUCUAAGCUGGUUCCUGCAAUUUUCUCUUUAUCUCAUCUUCACACAGACAUUACAGUCCAGUUCACCCAACUUUACGCUAGAAAUGAGCGCAGUGUCAUCAUAAUAUGAGGUUUACUCUAAAUUUCCCGCGGUGUCAAUGGGGGACAAAGCGACCAAGUUUCUCAUAAUUGACAACAUUAUGUUCUUAUAAAAACAGAAUGGAUAUUUGAGUAUUGCUCUUGUCUACAAAGCCUUUUCAAAAUGACCAAAAAUAGCCUUUUCAGUAAGCUUUUAAAGCAACUAUCAAUUGAUAUUUUCGAAACGUAAUACUGUCAGAACAUUCACGAACAUUUUAACUCUUUUAAUGCUUCAACAGAAAUGUUUAAAGUGUAAAAUUGUUGGCAUAAUCUUACAAGUCUUAGAGGUCUGUAUCAGAAAGUUGAACACCACAUGAUGAACACCUUUAAUAUGGAGCACUGAGCAUUGGAGUAUGUUUGAAUGAAUGAAGUUCUACAAUCACCGCAGAUGUCGCUGUCGUAAAACUUUUUAAUUUAAAUAAUCAGGGGAGUAACAUGUCACAAAAAUAUGUGGACAAUAAAGGUGGUACUUUCAAUUUUUUCAAUGAAAUUAUUUUGUGACAGCAACAAAAUUCACUGUGGUUGUAGAACUUAAUUUAAUUAAACAUAAUCCAGUUGUUAAGUGUUCCAUCUUUUAUACUUUCUCUAUUAAUUGCAAUAAAAAGAGUUACGCUCCAACUUCAAAGCCCUGGGAAGCACAUUAGACCAUAAGAAGUAAAGAUAUUUUCAACCUAUUUAAGCAUUUAACCUGCGGCUAAAGUUUGUCGGUCAAAUUCAGAGUCAAGCUGAUAAUAUAAUUUGAUAUGCAUCUUUUUACUAUGAACAUUCUAGGAACCCAUUAUUUUUCCUUUCAUGGCUCUUAUGUUUUUCCAGAAAGUUUCUAUUACCUAUAAUAAUUUCAAUUUCAACUAAGACGGUUUUCAGAAAAAAAAUAAUUAUUGACAGAUUCUGGUUUGUCUUUCCAUAGCAUUUGAGAAAAUCAAGUAUGGAAAAUUACAUACUUUAUGUGAUGGCCAUGACCAGCGAUGCACUUUUGGAGGCGUUCUUGAAAGUUAGCAUUCACUCUUUCCAACUUCAGUCGGCCGAUUUGGGCGGCUUCCACGCGAAUCGCUUCAUUAAAUUCCUCUGUUGUUUGGGGAUUGUGCUGGUAUACACGUGCGUGCCUUGAGGUGAUUCCACAAGAAUAAAUCGCACAUGGUUAAAUUGGGAGACAGAGGAGGCCAGUGAGCAUCACGAAACCUGGAAUUGGCGCGACGAGGGAAGAGAGGGUGAAUAAUGUCCAUUGAAGCUCUAGCUGUGUGGGCCGUUGCCCCAUCCUGGGAUAUUCGUCUUCGUAGUAAUUUAGGAAAAAAGAUGUUGUUGAUCAUCUCGACAUAGCACUCCGAGCUCAUGGUAACAGCAUUUCCAUUAUCGUCUGCAAAAAGGUAAGGGGCAAUGAUGCAAGUUGUGGCUAUAGCGCACCAAGCUGUCACUUUCAGGCUAUGCAGCGGUCUUUAGUGUAAAUCUCUAGGAUUUUCAUUAGCCCAAUAACGGCAGUUCUGUUGAUUCACCAUACCAUUGAGAUGAAAAUGAACAUCACUCACGAACAAAAUAAGAUUUUCAUUUUGUUGAAAAAUUGCUUCCAUCUGAAGCACGAAGGUCAGUUGUUGAGCGUAAUUCCCAGACUGCAACUGUUACACAAUGGCCAAUUUGUACGGGUGUAAAUGCAGCUCUAAAUGCAAAAUACGCCUUACUGAACGAUUACUCAGGCCAAGUUCAGCAGCAUGCCACCAAACAGAUCAAUCUGGACUGCGCAGAAGGGCUUAACGAACUACUUUUACAUUUUCAGGGGUUCAAGCCGUUCAUGGAGACUCUAGUGGUCUUCUGUUCAUCAAAACUCCUUGCGUACGAAGUGCUUCAACCCAACGAAGAAUGGUGUUUUUUACGGGAACAGCUUGGUUUCUGUGGAUGUUGAAGUGACGACGAAAUUUGCACUGAACUGCCGUGACUGACUAAUUAUUUCUGACAAAACUGUCGUAUGCAAAACUAUGGUGCUCUACUAUACACACGGCACCAUGACUUCAACUGAUAAACAAAUGCUAAGACCUCACAAACUUGUCGAGACUUGCCGCACAGCGCUCGCCCCAAUAGGAGGCCGUGGUGAACAAUGCUCUAUCACUCAAGAGGAAAAAAGAGGAAGUUUAUCCCUUGUCUCAUUGGAUUUCUCUAUAUCAACUUCCAUGAAGUACGGGAGCACGAAAAGUAUAGUGAGGUCCCUGUUCCGUUGUCGCCGACCACAGACCAGGCCGUGAUGAACUUCACCCUAGCCAGUGGCAGGGAACUCACACGCACAAACAACGUCUGCUCAUUCGUCUACCGGUAACUGUACGUACGCAAGCACCUGCAGUUGGAAUCAUAGUGAAAUCAUAUUGGAAUCAUAGCUUCCAAGUUAAAGCGUAAUGCAUCGUGUUCAAGUAUUUGAGACAAAACUAGAAGUAUUACUUUGUGCAGAAUGUCAUGAAGGUCACACUUAUGUUGGUUGCACUUUAGUUUUAAGCAUGUCAACUGUGCACACAAACGUAUGAAAUAAGGACUCUAUCAAACGUUUAUAAAAGUCUGAUGCUGUUGGUUGAACUAGUGGGAAUUUAUUUAUUAUUAGAUACUGGAACAGAAAUGAACAGAUGAUUCACAUGGAAAAGGUUGUUAAAUAAAUGGAUUGGUGUGAACCAAGCAGUGAUACGUGAAUAAGCACUUUAAUUUUUGAAAUAUUAUAAUGUAAAUAUCCAGACAGUAAUAUCAGUUUCAGUAAAGGAUGGUUUGAAACAAGAUGAAGGUCACACCCAGGCAGACAAGCCAACCAACCGACUAACGAUAAGUAUAUAACCACCUAUCUACCGUUACGCGGUGUUGUAUCUGUCAAUAUAUUCUAUGGUAGGCUUAUAAAGAUACAUAGUGUGACAUAUUUAUCGCUGAGUGUUAUUCCACAGAUUUAUAUUACGUAAAGAAUAUUUCCCUACACAUUUUGGAACACAUUAAGUAAAUUAGCCUUGCUAUUUAUGGAGACCAAUGCUUCAGAAUACGCAAUUUCGGAUAACACUAUCAUUUUUAGGAAUGCGUUCAUCGUGCUAAG